ensembl:lncRNA
CUAAUCACAGCCUUCCCCAGCUUUGGUUAUGCUGCCCCCCUGCUCCAGACCUUAGUCAUGCUCAGAGUGUUUAUAAAUCUGAAUGCAGCCUCAAAUAUAAAGCCGUGCUGUCGCUGUUUCGUUAGCGUGCUCAAUCUCUGCUGAGGGCGAAGCACUCGAGGAAUUUCAAACUGCUUUGCUUUCCUAAAACUUUAUUUAGCAUAGUGGACUUGUGUGUAUGUAACUACCAGUACAGAUUUGUCUUAAUUUUGCAGUGUGCUUUACAGUAACUUGUAGGAGCCACAAUGAGUCUGUGGGAGGGAGGUUUAAUACAAAUGUUGCAAGGUAAAGGAGUUCCUUUUUUCCCUUUCUUUCUUUUUUUCCUUUUUUUUUCUUAACCCCUUCCUUCUAGGAAGUGCACACCUAGUAGUCCUGGAUGAAGCUUGUUAAUAGGCAGCCUUACAGUGCGUUAUCUCUGCUUACCUAUUGUCUGUAGCAGUGAAGCCCUUACAUCUCCCAGGCAGUAGUAUCCUUCAGCGUAAGGACAGCUGGUUGCACAGUGUGUGCAAUUACAGAUGUAAUGCCUACUGUCUUUUUCCUUUUAAACACAACCAAAACCCUUUAUUUUCAAAUGCCUGUCCAACAGAGUCUGACGAUUUCAAGUUUGGAAACAGUAGUGACCAACUCACCCCGUCACGUGUGUCCCAGAAAAACCUAUAGCAGCAUAGAUAGCAUAUGAAAAGCAUCUUGCAGUUUUGAGCAGAGCACGGUGAAAAGAAAUGCUGGGGGAAGAGAAUUUGAAUGUGGUUGAGGGAGGAAGCUAGUUAGCAUUAUUAAAGCAGUUUGUAAUGAGUGGGGUGUGUAGUAACGUCUUCUAUUUUUUUCUGAUUUCUCUUAGCACAUAAAAAGCUGCAGCCCGUAUGAAGAGGGGAAUUAUUAGCUAAAAGAUAGCCGUCAGAUUUCGGAAGAUAAAUGAAAGGUGGAUCUGAACCUUGAAAUUGUCAGCUCAGCAGGAGGUUGCAAAGGCAGAGUGGUGAAAAGAGGGUCUCCUGCAGAACUCCCAAGAAGAUUGAAAUGGAUUGUGCAAUUCUGGAAGGGGACAAGAAACGGGCAAUACAAAGUUCUGACUAUCCCGCUCUGGCUGAACUGCACGAGGUUAUGUUCUAUGGUGAUAAAUGUGAGUGGAGUUUAUCUUCAGUUCACCAAUAUCCUCGUGAAUUCCACCUUGCAGACCAAGCACCAGAAACUUUUUACUUGACAGAUUACUGAAACUGUUAAAAAUAUCAUGUGUAAUGUUUCAAGGUAGGUGGCUGUCUCAAGGAAUAAAGCUUUUAACUUUCUAUCUUACCUAGUUGCGUUCUGCAGCUUAAUGGUGAUGUUGAAAUUGUACAUCCUGAAGUAUGCUGGUUUAGGAAAAAUGUUCAGAAGAUUAAGUAUACAAAACAUGGUUUUGGGGGUGGCAUGAGACAGGCAGACCUGCAGCAGGC